rnacentral:rRNA from 1 species
GAUGAACGCUGGCGGCGUGCCUAAUACAUGCAAGUCGAGCGAACGGACGAGAAGCUUGCUUCUCUGAUGUUAGCGGCGGACGGGUGAGUAACACGUGGAUAACCUACCUAUAAGACUGGGAUAACUUCGGGAAACCGGAGCUAAUACCGGAUAAUAUUUUGAACCGCAUGGUUCAAAAGUGAAAGACGGUCUUGCUGUCACUUAUAGAUGGAUCCGCGCUGCAUUAGCUAGUUGGUAAGGUAACGGCUUACCAAGGCAACGAUGCAUAGCCGACCUGAGAGGGUGAUCGGCAACACGGAACCGAGGACCCGGUCCGAAUCCCUACGGGAGGCAGCGGUAGGGAAUUUCCGCAAUGGGCGAAAGCCUGACGGAGCAACGCCGCGUGAGUGAUGAAGGUCUUCGGAUCGUAAAACUCUGUUAUUAGGGAAGAACAUAUGUGUAAGUAACUGUGCACAUCUUGACGGUACCUAAUCAGAAAGCCACGGCUAACUACGUG